UGGUAAUUCCAGCUCCAAUAGCGUAUACUAAAGUUGUUGCAGUUAAAAAGCUCGUAGUUGGAUUUCUGCGGGGACGGAGCGGCCGGUCGCAACUUGCGACUCGAGCUAGCGCUUUCCCCGCAUCCUGCCGCGAACCGUGCUACCAUUAGUUUGGUGGCGCUGGGGAUCGGCUCGAUUACUUUGAGAAAAAUAGAGUGUUCAAAGCAGGCCACACGCCUUGAAUAAGUUAGCAUGGAAUAAUGACUAAGGACUUCGGUUCUAUUUUGUUGGUGUUCGGGACUGAAGUAAUGAUUGAUAGGGACAGUUGGGGCGGUCUGUAUUCCAAAGCGAGAGGUGAAAUUCUUAGACCUUCGGAAGACAAACAGCUGCGAAAGCGUUCCGCAAGGAUGUUCCCUUUGAUCAAGAACGAAAGUUGGGGGAUCGAAGACGAUCAGAUACCGUCGUAGUCUCAACUAUAAACUAUACCAGCUAGGGAUCGGCCAACGUUUAAUUAAUCGACUUGGUCGGCACCUUAUGAGAAAUCAAAGCAUCUGGGUUCCGGGGGGAGUAUGGUCGCAAGGCUGAAACUUAAAGGAAUUGACGGAAGGGCACCACCAGCCGUGGAGCCUGUGGCUUAAUUUGACUCAACACGGGAAAACUUACCAGGUCCAGACAUAGGAAGGAUUGACAGAUUGAUAGCUCUUUCUUGAUUCUGUGGGUGGUGGUGCAUGGCCGUUUUUAGUUGGUGAAGUGAUUUGUCUGCUUAAUUGCGUUAACGAACGAGACCCCAGCCUGCUAAAUAGCGCGGCCGAGCUUUGCUCGGUGCGAGCUUCUUAGAGGGACCAUGAUGCGCGAUAGCACAAGGAAGUUUGGGGCAACAACAGGUCUGUGAUGCCCUUAGAUGUUCUGGGCCGCACACGGGCUACACUGGCGCCUGCAACGAGCAUAUCAGCUGGCCCGAGAGGGUCUUGGCUAAUCUUUUGAACCGGCGCCGUGCUUGGGAUUGACCUUUGCAAUUGUUGGUCAUGCAACGAGGAAUGCCUUGUAAACGCGAGUCAUCAGCUCGCAUUGAAUACGUCCCUGCCCUUUGUACACACCGCCCGUCGCUCCUACCGAUGAAUGUUCCGAUGAAAUUUUCGGAGAGCGACAGAGAACGGGGCUCCGCCUUGCAGAUCUGGAGGCUCAAAGUCACUUAAAUCUGAACAUUUCGAGGAAGGAGAAGUCGUAACAAGGUAGCCG
rnacentral:rRNA from 1 species